ACAAUUAUAACAAAAAUUGUCUAGGUCCUCAGGACCAAGGGUCACGACUAGAAGGUUAAAGUUACAGUUUUACUGAUUUAUAACUAAUUUUAGUGAUUUUUAACUAGGUAAUAGAAAUGAAAUGUAUUAAUGGUGUUGUUUAGGUGCGUUUGGAAUGUGUGGUGAGUUUAUUGAAGGCAGCUGUGGCUCCACUCAGCUCAUUCAUAAUGGAGGCACUUGCUCUGAAUCACCCUUUAACGGCCGCCAUUCGCCAACAACUGCAACUGGUUCCAAGCAAAAUGGUGCUGAAAAGUAUCAAUUCAAUGAAACCUACAACACCGACCAUGAGAUAUGACGAUGUGUGAAGCGUUGUCUGAAGGCUGAUGAGGCUGGAGAACUGGAGGAUGAUGAGGAAGGGAAUGCAGACACAGGGGAAAGAGGCAAGCUGAGGCUGAAGAGGCAUUUCGAAGGAGACAAAGGCUGUAGUGCUAAAGAUGCAAAUAGGCUGGUAACUGAGACGAAUGUAAUCGAAAUCCCCCAAGAUCCAGAAUAUGGGAAGAUAACGGACAGACGAAAGUUUAUGCCAAUGAGGUAUUGUAAAUGUUGGGGUCUUCUUAUCCUUUCUUUAUUUAUAUUAUUAAAAUUUAAAAUGCUUUUGCAAAACAAAAGGGUUUAAGUAAUAAAAAUGUUGGGGACUUGUAAUCCUUUCUUAUUUAUUAAUAUUAUUACACCAUCCAUUGAUGCAUUGAGCUAAGACAAGUCGUGUUAUGCACGACUUCAGUAAUAUCUUUUAUUUCCAUAAAUAGGGCUGAAAUUCUAUUACAUUGAACCAAUAAAAAUAAUUUUAUUAUACCAUGAAUUGAUAACAAUGAAAAACUAUUAUUUAAACUUUCGUCAAGUGAGGUUUGCAAUCUCCCUGUCUGUCCAUCAAGCAUAGUCAAUCAUUAUAAUUAAAUUAUAAAUUGAAUUUAGAAAUUUAAAUUAGUAAAAAAUUAUCAUUAUCAUCAUAAUCACAUAAAUUAAUGGAUGAAUUUAAAAUGGGAUAAAUUUAUGAGGUUAUAUAGUGUACCUGUGUAAUAAGCAGAAGUAAUUUAAUUUUGAGUAUGGAUUGAAUAAACAAUUAAAAUG